rnacentral:rRNA from 1 species
GAGUUUGAUCCUGGCUCAGAUUGAACGCUGGCGGAAUGCUUUACACAUGCAAGUCGAACGGCAGCACGGGGCAACCUGGUGGCGAGUGGCGAACGGGUGAGUAAUGCAUCGGAACGUGCCCAAUCGUGGGGGAUAACGUAGCGAAAGUUACGCUAAUACCGCAUACGAUCUAAGGAUGAAAGCGGGGGAUCGCAAGACCUCGCGCGAAUGGAGCGGCCGAUGUCAGAUUAGGUAGUUGGUGGGGUAAAGGCUCACCAAGCCGACGAUCUGUAGCUGGUCUGAGAGGACGACCAGCCACACUGGGACUGAGACACGGCCCAGACUCCUACGGGAGGCAGCAGUGGGGAAUUUUGGACAAUGGGCGAAAGCCUGAUCCAGCCAUUCCGCGUGCAGGAUGAAGGCCUUCGGGUUGUAAACUGCUUUUGUACGGAACGAAACGGUCCUUUCUAAUACAAGGGGCUAAUGACGGUACCGUAAGAAUAAGCACCGGCUAACUACGUGCCAGCAGCCGCGGUAAUCCC